rnacentral:rRNA from 1 species
UACGUAGGGUGCGAGCGUUGUCCGGAAUUAUUGGGCGUAAAGAGCUCGUAGGCGGUUUGUCGCGUCUGCUGUGAAAACCUAAGGCUCAACCUUGGGCUUGCAGUGGGUACGGGCAGACUAGAGUGCGGUAGGGGUGACUGGAAUUCCUGGUGUAGCGGUGGAAUGCGCAGAUAUCAGGAGGAACACCGAGUGGCGAAGGCAGGUC